rnacentral:rRNA from 1 species
UAGGGAAUCUUCGGCAAUGGACGAAAGUCUGACCGAGCAACGCCGCGUGAGUGAAGAAGGUUUUCGGAUCGUAAAACUCUGUUGGUAGAGAAGAACGUUGGUGAGAGUGGAAAGCUCAUCAAGUGACGGUAACUACCUAGAAAGGGACGGCUAACUACGUGCCAC